rnacentral:rRNA from 1 species
AACGAACGCUGGCGGCAUGCCUAACACAUGCAAGUCGAACGAUGCUUUCGGGCAUAGUGGCGCACGGGUGCGUAACGCGUGGGAAUCUGCCCUUGGGUACGGAAUAACAGUGAGAAAUUGCUGCUAAUACCGGAUGAUGUCUUCGGACCAAAGAUUUAUCGCCCAGGGAUGAGCCCGCGUAGGAUUAGCUAGUUGGUGGGGUAAUGGCCUACCAAGGCGACGAUCCUUAGCUGGUCUGAGAGGAUGAUCAGCCACACUGGGACUGAGACACGGCCCAGACUCCUACGGGAGGCAGCAGUGGGGAAUAUUGGACAAUGGGCGCAAGCCUGAUCCAGCAAUGCCGCGUGAGUGAUGAAGGCCUUAGGGUUGUAAAGCUCUUUUACCCGGGAUGAUAAUGACAGUACCGGGAGAAUAAGCUCCGGCUAACUCCGUG